rnacentral:rRNA from 2 species
UAGGGAAUCUUCGGCAAUGGACGAAAGUCAGACCGAGCAACGCCGCGUGAGUGAAGAAGGUUUUCGGAUCGUAAAACUCUGUUGUUAGAGAAGAACAAGGACGUUAGUAACUGAACGUCCCCUGACGGUAUCUAACCAGAAAGCCACGGCUAACUACGUGCCAGCAGCCGCGGUAAUACGUAGGUGGCAAGCGUUGUCCGGAUUUAUUGGGCGUAAAGCGAGCGCAGGCGGUUUCUUAAGUCUGAUGUGAAAGCCCCCGGCUCAACCGGGGAGGGUCAUUGGAAACUGGGAGACUUGAGUGCAGAAGAGGAGAGUGGAAUUCCAUGUGUAGCGGUGAAAUGCGUAGAUAUAUGGAGGAACACCAGUGGCGAAGGCGGCUCUCUGGUCUGUAACUGACGCUGAGGCUCGAAAGCGUGGGGAGCAAACAGG